rnacentral:rRNA from 15 species
UAGAUCCGUAACUUCGGGAUAAGGAUUGGCUCUAAGGAUCGGGCUUUCUGGGCCUUUAUCAGAAGCUUCUGAACUCGUUGAGGCCUACGCUUGAGCAAUCUUGUGCGGGCUUCUUUGGGCUUGGUUGUUGACGGUAUUGGUAGGACUUCGUGUCCGUCUGGAUUGCAUUUAACGAUCAACUUAGAACUGGUACGGACAAGGGGAAUCUGACCGU